UACGUAGGGGGCAAGCGUUGUCCGGAAUCAUUGGGCGUAAAGAGCGUGUAGGCGGCUCGGUAAGUCCGCUGUGAAAGUCCAGGGCUCAACCCUGGGAUGCCGGUGGAUACUGUCGGGCUCGAGUCCGGAAGAGGAGUGUGGAAUUCCCGGUGUAGCGGUGAAAUGCGCAGAUAUCGGGAAGAACACCCGUGGCGAAGGCGGCUCUCUGGGACGGUACUGACGCUGAGACGCGAAAGCGUGGGGAGCGAACAGG
rnacentral:rRNA from 1 species